GGCGGCGUGCUUAACACAUGCAAGUCGAGCGGUAAGGCCCUUCGGGGUACACGAGCGGCGAACGGGUGAGUAACACGUGGGUGAUCUGCCUCGCACUUCGGGAUAAGCCUGGGAAACUGGGUCUAAUACCGGAUAUGACCACUGGUCGCAUGGUUGGUGGUGGAAAGAUUUAUCGGUGCGAGAUGGGCCCGCGGCCUAUCAGCUUGUUGGUGGGGUAAUGGCCUACCAAGGCGACGACGGGUAGCCGGCCUAAGAGGGCGACCGGCCACACUGGGACUGAGACACGGCCCAGACUCCUACGGGAGGCAGCAGUGGGGAAUAUUGCACAAUGGGCGAAAGCCUGAUGCAGCGACGCCGCGUGAGGGAUGACGGCCUUCGGGUUGUAAACCUCUUUCGACAGGGACGAAGCGUAAGUGACGGUACCUGUAGAAGAAGCACCGGCCAACUACGUGCCAGCAGCCGCGGUAAUACGUAGGGUGCGAGCGUUGUCCGGAAUUACUGGGCGUAAAGAGCUUGUAGGCGGUUUGUCGCGUCGUCUGUGAAAACUCACAGCUCAACUGUGAGCUUGCAGGCGAUACGGGCAGACUUGAGUACUGCAGGGGAGACUGGAAUUCCUGGUGUAGCGGUGAAAUGCGCAGAUAUCAGGAGGAACACCGGUGGCGAAGGCGGGUCUCUGGGCAGUAACUGACGCUGAGAAGCGAAAGCGUGGGUAGCGAACAGGAUUAGAUACCCUGGUAGUCCACGCCGUAAACGGUGGGCGCUAGGUGUGGGUUUCCUUCCACGGGAUCCGUGCCGUAGCUAACGCAUUAAGCGCCCCGCCUGGGGAGUACGGCCGC
rnacentral:rRNA from 1 species